GGAAUAGAUCUGAGGGAAGAGAUCACAUACUUCCAGUUCAUCAUCCUUGGUCUUUCAAGUCUGUCCGCAAGUUUAUGAAGAAAGCUAUUUGGUUGCUCCCUGAUAUGGACUCAACAGGGAACUGGUACAAGCCUGGACAAGUUUAUCUCGAGAAAGACCUGAUACUUCCUUAUGUUGCCAAUCUCGAUCUAUGUGAUGCUAAAUGUUUGUCUUCAUCAAGGAGAACUACGCUGCUAUUUUUCCGGGGAAGACUUAAAAGAAAUGCUGGUGGUAAGAUACGUGCCAAACUUGUGGAAGAGCUCCGUGGUGCAGAUGGAGUAUCCAUUGAGGAAGGGACUGCUGGAGAAGGAGGAAAAGAAGCAGCACAGGUUGGCAUGCGCAAGAGUAUAUUUUGCCUAAAUCCAGCUGGUGACACCCCAUCGUCAGCCAGAUUGUUUGAUGCAAUUGUCAGUGGCUGCAUUCCUAUCAUAGUCAGCGACGAACUAGAGCUUCCUUUCGAGGGGAUUCUUGAUUAUCGGAAGAUUGCUCUGUUUGUCUCUUCUAGUGAUGCUUUGCAACCAGGGUGGCUUUUGUCAUUUCUAAAAAGUGUUAGUGGGGCUCAAAUUAAAGAGAUGCAAGCGAAUUUAGCUAAGUAUGCUAGGCAUUUUCUUUAUUCUCAUCCAGCUCAGCCGCUAGGUCCUGAA
rnacentral:misc_RNA from 1 species